rnacentral:rRNA from 1 species
GACGUAGGGGGCGAGCGUUGUCCGGAUUUAUUGGGCGUAAAGCGUGCGCAGGCGGCUUCGCAAGUCAGACGUGAAAUCCCCGGGCUUAACCUGGGAAUGGCGUUUGAAACUACGGAGCUGGAGUGUGGCAGAGGGAGGUAGAAUUCCACGUGUAGCGGUGAAAAUGCGUAGAUAUGUGGAGGAAUACCGAUGGCGAAGGCAGCCUCCUGGGCCAACACUGACGCUCAUGCACGAAAGCGUGGGGAGCAAACAGG